AUGAAACUUGAACGCUGGCGGCAGGCUUAACACAUGCAAGUCGAGCGGUAACAUUUCUAGCUUGCUAGAAGAUGACGAGCGGCGGACGGGUGAGUAAUACUUAGGAAUCUACCUAGUAGUGGGGGAUAGCUCGGGGAAACUCGAAUUAAUACCGCAUACGACCUACGGGAGAAAGGGGGCAGUUUACUGCUCUCGCUAUUAGAUGAGCCUAAGUCGGAUUAGCUAGAUGGUGGGGUAAAGGCCUACCAUGGCGACGAUCUGUAGCUGGUCUGAGAGGAUGAUCAGCCACACCGGAACUGAGACACGGUCCGGACUCCUACGGGAGGCAGCAGUGGGGAAUAUUGGACAAUGGGGGCAACCCUGAUCCAGCCAUGCCGCGUGUGUGAAGAAGGCCUUUUGGUUGUAAAGCACUUUAAGCAGUGAAGAAGACUCCGUGGUUAAUACCCACGGACGAUGACAUUAGCUGCAGAAUAAGCACCGGCUAACUCUGUGCCAGCAGCCGCGGUAAUACAGAGGGUGCAAGCGUUAAUCGGAAUUACUGGGCGUAAAGCGAGCGUAGGUGGCUUGAUAAGUCAGAUGUGAAAUCCCCGGGCUUAACCUGGGAACUGCAUCUGAUACUGUUAGGCUAGAGUAGGUGAGAGGAAGGUAGAAUUCCAGGUGUAGCGGUGAAAUGCGUAGAGAUCUGGAGGAAUACCGAUGGCGAAGGCAGCCUUCUGGCAUCAUACUGACACUGAGGCUCGAAAGCGUGGGUAGCAAACAGGAUUAGAUACUC
rnacentral:rRNA from 1 species